UGGGGAAUCUUGCGCAAUGGGCGAAAGCCUGACGCAGCAACGCCGCGUGCGGGAAGAAGGCUUUCGGGCUGUAAACCGCUUUCAGCAGGAACGAAAAUGACGGUACCUGCAGAAGAAGGAGCGGCCAACUAUGUGCCAGCAGCCGCGGUGAUACAUAGGCUUCAAGCGUUGUCCGGAUUUAUUGGGCGUAAAGAGUUCGUAGGCGGUUGAGUAAGUCGGGUGUGAAAAUUCUGGGCUAAACCCAGAGAC
rnacentral:rRNA from 1 species